rnacentral:rRNA from 1 species
UACGUAGGGGGCUAGCGUUGUCCGGAAUCAUUGGGCGUAAAGCGCGUGUAGGCGGUCCGGUAAGUCCGCUGUGAAAGUCAAAGGCUCAACCUUUGAAAGCCGAUGGAUACUGCAGGGCUAGAGUCCGGAAGAGGCGAGUGGAAUUCCUGGUGUAGCGGUGGAAUGCGCAGAUAUCAGGAGGAACACCAAUAGCGAAGGCAGCUCGCUGGGACGGUACUGACGCUAAGGCGCGAAAGCGUGGGGAGCGAACAGG